rnacentral:tRNA from 1 species
GGCGGUAGCUCAGCCAGGUAGAGCAGUUGGAAUGUUUCUCAAACCCUUGUCGCCUUCACCUUUUUGAAAUUUUCCGGCGAAUGCCGGAGCGGACUACACUGGUAACCAGCGGGUUCAAAUCCCGCCCCGCCG